CACACAUAUAUAGUCACAGGGUAACAUAGUAAGAUCGUCACGGGGUGUUUGUGGGGUUAUGUUAAUCCGGGCCAGCAGGGCAUUAUGGGGGUGUGUUUUGGGAGUAUUAGGGGGAUCUACCAUCACUGUGCAGUUUAGCCACCUGAGGGGUUUUUGGCUGUGUUUAAUAGAUCGGGUUUUACUCUUCAAGCACUUUUAAGAGCUGUAAGCGAGCAGUAUCCUGUUAAUAAAGAGCUUCUUGCUAAGAGCAUGCUUCCUGCUUCUUCAUCUCCCUGCCGGUCCCGAACCCUAGGAGUGAAAAACUACAGGGGGCUACGUUGAGCCCAAGCUCUGGUGAUCACCCUAUGGGAGAAGAAGUGGCCAUUGUUACAGACAGAGCACGGAUCUCUCGGCCGCAAAAAUAACAGCUGAUGAUGAUGCUG